CCCCGCCCACCCCGCCUGCUCCCGUGGGGACGUCCUGAUUUCCGAGUCCUGGCGGCUCCAGGCAGUUCCGGAGUGGAGGGAGGAAGUCCGAUCCCGGCUGCUCCCCGCCUCUUCGCCAGCGCUCGCUGGGGGCGCCGGGGCCCCUCUCCCUUCCUCCGCCCCUGCGGGGAGGCAGUCCGAAGAGCAGCAACUGCAGCACGAAGAGGAGAAGGAGGAGAUGGGGGAAAAGGCGUCUUGUCACAGCUGCAGGUUGCCGGCCUAGGGCCUUUAUGUUUUGGGGAACAGCAUGCACGCCAUGAAAGGAACGGCAGUCAAGGAUCAUUCCUCCUGUUGAAAACAACCAUAAACCUGGACAAAGUACUGCUUUUAAAUCUGUUUAAAGUCGUGCAGGGACCACGAUGGCAGCAAGGACUUGAAGGGACAAGAAUUUGGGGAGAUGAGCCAAACUUACCAAGCUCAUCCCUUCUAAGUAUCUAUGGGUUCGUGAGUUAAUGAGUUGAAUAAAAUUGUUGGUCCAAUGUUCAUUUUAUGUUUGCAGUAAGAAUUAUGCUUUUCACUUUUUGAAAAUUAUAUUUUGAAAAUAAGAAGAAGGGU
ensembl:lncRNA